rnacentral:rRNA from 1 species
UACGUAGGCAGCAAGCGUUGUUCGGAGUUACUGGGCGUAAAGGGUGCGUAGGUGGCUCUAUAAGUAUGGUGUGAAAUCUCCCGGCUUAACUGGGAGGGUGCGCCGUAGACUGUGGGGCUGGAGUGUGGGAGAGGAAAGUGGAAUUCCUGGUGUAGCGGUGAAAUGCGUAGAUAUCAGGAGGAACACCGGUGGUGUAAACGGCUUUCUGGACCAUAACUGACACUGAGGCACGAAAGCGUGGGUAGCAAACAGG